CGGCCAUGUGCCGGAUGAGAUACAAAUGCAAGUGUUGGGAGGGCUUCUGUAAAGGUUAAUGAAAGGGAUGACCGUGCCAGCAGCAUGUGGAUGAGCCUGGACCCCAGCAGUCAAUCCGUCCCUCCCCUCAUCCCGUGCCCUUGGAAGUGGCAAAGCAUGUGCGGGGACGGAGUUUUGCCAUGUUGCCCCGGCUGAUCUUGAACUCCUGAGCUCAAACAAUACACCUGCCUUGGCCUCCCAAAGUGUUGGGAUUACAGGCAUGAGUCACUGCACUUGGCCAUUAUCUUGGUUUGAGCCCAGUCAGACCCAUUUGGGACUUCUGACCUCCAGAUGUGUGAGAUAAUACAUCCGUGUUAUUCAAAGCCACCAUGUUUGUGGUACUCUGUUACAGCAGACACAGAAAAC
ensembl:lncRNA